rnacentral:tRNA from 1 species
GGGCGUAGUUCAAUGGAUAGAACAAUGCCUUGACUGAGCAUAAAAUGCGGGUUCGAUUCCCGCCGCCCCCA